AAUGUCGAACAGCUUCUGGACAUGGUGGAGAACGAAUUGGGAAAGUUCAAGGCUUGGUUUGACACUAAUAAAUUGUCACUCCACCUUGGGAAAACUAAAUGUUUUAUAUUUGGAAAUAAACAAUUACCUAAAUUUAAAAAUUUGACUAUAAACAAUACUGAAAUAGAGGUAGUAACAGAGAAUAAAUUCCUUGGUGUUAUAAUUGAUAAUAAACUAAGCUGGAAAGCACAUAUAAACUAUAUCAAAUCAAAAAUGUCCAAAUCUAUCGCCAUCUUGUAUAAAGCCAAAGACAUACUAUCACGGGAAGGGUUACUUACUUUAUACCAUUCUUUAAUAGCACCAUACAUGACAUAUUGCAUUGAGUCGCGGGGAAAUACAUACAAAUCAAACACUAAUCAAAUAUUUCUUCUACAAAAACGAGCCAUACGUAUCAUCUGCAAUAAAAACUUUUGUGAACCA